rnacentral:piRNA from 1 species
UCGAUACCAAAUUAUCAGUUC